CAAUUUUUGUAGCUUCACAGAAACGGACAGUUCCCACUAGACGUUUCCAUAUAACCUCGAGACAGCCCAAACUGGGCCCCAGCCCCCAUCACAGCCGCAUAAACAGUCAUACCUAUUGUACGGGUGUACGACGAUACAAAGGGAUCGCGCUAUGAAGAAAAUGGAGAAGGGUUCUGUAUGUUCGGGCUCUAAGCAUCUCUUUUUCGAAAAAUAGCGCGUGUAGUUCACAACCUUUGCUCUGUCGUUCUGCCACUUGCUGACUUGGCACGUACCGUAUCAACAGUAGACUUUUCUACCAGCAUGAACAUCGUAGGCGACCACACAGGCCACGAGCCGCCUGUGGAGCGGAUGUAUCGAGCCUGGCUUGUGGCCUGUCGCAACUGUCCUGUGUUUGCUUUGAUUCCGUGUCUGAUGACCAUGAGCAUUCUUUGCUACCGACGUUUACCUCUUCAAUUUAGUCCACCAGAUCUUUGUGGCGGUGCUUUGGCUCAAGAAACUGGCACGGGGACGCGCCACGGGAUCGAGCGAAGUGGAGCGGCAGGGAACUGUGGUCCCUUCUGCCGUGACUUCGCCCUGGAACGUGCAUGUUUCCCAGGGCGACCUGCCGGACGGGGCACAACUUCUUUUUUCGCAAAGACCUUAACGUAUGUUCGCGUUCUCAACGAUGUGUGUGAACUGGUUGCCUGCACCAAAACCGACGCUGCUGUCGAGAGAGUACGCCGACCGAGAAUCAACU
rnacentral:lncRNA from 1 species